CAAACCAAACCAAACCAAACCAAAAUACAUGGAAUGAAAUUCUGCAAGAAGUAAUAAAAGUAUUAUAAAUGAAAAGUAUUUAAACAAAUUAUUUCUAUAUGGCAUUUCACAGCUAUUAAAUAAUGUAGUAUAACUGUGGAAUCAUGGGACAUGACUAAGAAUUUGCUAAAGAGUGCUAAAAUAAAAAAAAAAACAAACAAACAUUGGUCUAACAUUCCUUCACUUUAUUCAGGACAUGCCUUUAAUUACAGCACUCGACUGACAGAGGUGAGUGGAUCUCCAUGAGUUCAAGGCCAGCCUGGUCUACAUAUUGAGUUCAAGAUGCAAUGUACGACAGAGCUUGCCCUUGGCCAGGACUCUGUUCUAGUAAGUAUUAACUGGGACUCAGAAUCAAGUCUGCUUCUGAUGUGGCUGAUCCCAUUCUAAGACCCCUGGCCUGGGCGGGCCCAGGGUGGAUGGAGGUCGCUCUAUGGGAACGAAUGAGAGCACUGUGGAACCCAUGAGAACAGGAAUUGGGCUGAAUAAACGCAUGCCAAUCACAGUA